GUGAGGAAUAUUGGUCAAUGGGCGAGAGCCUGAACCAGCCAAGUCGCGUGAAGGAAGAAGGAUCUAUGGUUCGUAAACUUCUUUUGCAGGGGAAUAAAAUGCAGGACGUGUCCUGUUUUGUAUGUACCCUGAGAAUAAGGAUCGGCUAACUCCGUGCCAGCAGCCGCGGUAAUACGGAGGAUCCGAGCGUUAUCCGGAUUUAUUGGGUUUAAAGGGUGCGUAGGUGGUUUGAUAAGUCAGCGGUGAAAGUUUGCAGCUUAACUGUAAAAAUGCCGUUGAAACUGUCGGACUUGAGUGUAAAUGAGGUAGGCGGAAUGCGUGGUGUAGCGGUGAAAUGCAUAGAUAUCACGCAGAACUCCGAUUGCGAAGGCAGCUUACUAAGCUACAACUGACACUGAAGCACGAAAGCGUGGGGAUCAAACAGGAUUAGAAACCCGGGUAGUCC
rnacentral:rRNA from 1 species